rnacentral:lncRNA from 1 species
UUGGCCAAAACAAAUGCUUCCUUGUUGCCUCCUUGAUCUUUUCCUGGCUGGUGAUUCCUGAAUGUUCUUCUCAUUUUGAUAUGCUGAGUCGUUUGCUGAUUAUAAAUGCUAAUCACCUUAAAUUUUCUUAGUCUUCUUCUUCAUGUGAAAUUCUACCUAAUGGCUAUCCUUUUAUCUGGUUUGAAUUCUUCUUUUUUCUUUGAAUUGUUGAUUUCUAAUGUUCUUGUCAUUCGCACAUGUGGCGUUCUGCACUCUUGCAAUGCCAUUUCUUAUUAUGGCAGCAGCAUUCUUGGUCAUGGCAUCACAAGCAAAUGCUUUUGAAUUGCUUUGUUUGAUUUUUGUUUCUAAUAUUUUUUUUUUUGGCAUUGUGGGAUACUGUUUCUCUUUUGAUUUUCUGUCUUUGUUGUUAUGGGAUUCUGGUAUAGUAUGCAUCAGUACACAUAUGAAGAUGAUGUGAUAAAGUGCUUUUGAUAAAUUGCCCCAGUCAGUUUACUUCACAAACCAACCAUUAAUGAGCAAAUCCUUCUAAUGACCCUUGUACACAUUAGAAUAAAUACAAUUCUAUAUAUACACAAAAAUAAAUAACUCUCAAGUAUAUUAUUUGAUAAUCGCAAAAGCAACAAUUCACUCCAAUAAAUCUCAUAACACACUCAUGUUCUAUGUUGCAAGUCUUUGUAGAGAAAAAAUGAAGGACACACAAUUGAAUUUUUUCUAUAAUAAAGAACUCUAAACAAAUUCAUAUACAUAUUGCAGUACCCCUUACAAAUUCAUUUGUUUCUUCUUUUCCUUUGAUCAAGUGCUAAUUACAGCCUUGAUAUUUCAUUUGGUUUUAGUUAAUUUUCUAUAGGGUUGUGUUGUGUGAAAUUAAUUACAAAACAAUCUUUA